rnacentral:rRNA from 1 species
AGAGUUUGAUCAUGGCUCAGAGCGAACGCUGGCGGCGUGCUUAACACAUGCAAGUCGAACGCGCAGCAUUCUGUAGCAAUACAGGGUGUGGGCGCGUGGCGAACGGGUGCGUAACACGUGGAUAACCUUCCUUCAGGUGGGGAAUAACCCAGUGAAAAUUGGGCUAAUACCGCAUAAUAAAACGAUGAGACAUCUUGUUGUUUUCAAAGGCGCAAGUCGCCAGAAGAGGGAUCCGCGGCCGAUUAGCUUGUUGGCGGGGUAACGGCCCACCAAGGCAUUGAUCGGUAGCCGGACUGAGAGGUUGGCCGGCCACACUGGAACUGAGACACGGUCCAGACUCCUACGGGAGGCAGCAGUGGGGAAUCUUGCACAAUGGGCGAAAGCCUGAUGCAGCAACGCCGCGUGGGGGACGAAGCUUCUCGGAGUGUAAACCCCUUUCGACCCGGAAGAAAGCCCGCAAGGGUUUGACGGUACGGGUAUAAGAAGCCCCGGCUAACUACGUGCCAGCAGCCGCGGUAAAACGUAGGGGGCCAGCGUUGCUCGGAAUUACUGGGCGUAAAGGGUCCGUAGGCGGUGUGGCAAGUCGGUAGUGAAAUCUCUAGGCUUAACCUAGAGGCUGCUGCCGAAACUGCCGUGCUAGAGUGUGAGAGAGGCGAGUGGAAUUACGGGUGUAGCGGUGAAAUGCGUAGAUAUCCGUAGGAACAUCCGAGGCGAAAGCGGCUCGCUGGAUCACAACUGACGCUGAGGGACGAAAGCUAGGGGAGCAAACAGGAUUAGAUACCCUGGUAGUCCUAGCCCUAAACCAUCACGACUUGGGGUGUGCCCUGUACGGGGCACGUCCCGUAGCUAACGCGUUAAGUCCUGCGCCUGGGGAGUACGGUCGCAAGGCUGAACUCAAAGGAAUGACGGGGCCCGCACAAGCGGUGGAACAUGUGGUUUCAAUUCGACGCAACGCG